rnacentral:rRNA from 1 species
CGGGUGAGUAACACGUAUGCAAUCCACCUGUAACAGGGGGAUAACCCGGAGAAAUCCGGACUAAUACCCCAUAAUAUGGGCGCUCCGCAUGGAGAGUCCAUUAAAGAGAGCAAUCUUGGUCACAGACGAGCAUGCGCUCCAUUAGCCAGUUGGCGGGGUAACGGCCCACCAAGGCGACGAUGGAUAGGGGUUCUGAGAGGAAGGUCCCCCACAUUGGAACUGAGACACGGACCAA